rnacentral:rRNA from 1 species
UACAGAGGUCCCAAGCGUUGUUCGGAUUCAUUGGGCGUAAAGGGUGCGUAGGCGGCGGGGUAAGUUGGAUGUGAAAUCCUGGGGCUUAACCUCAGAAUUGCAUUCAAUACUGCCUUGCUAGAGAGCUGUAGAGGAGACUGGAAUUUACGGUGUAGCAGUGAAAUGCGUAGAUAUCGUAAGGAACGCCAGUGGCGAAAGCGAGUCUCUGGGCAGCAUCUGACGCUGAGGCACGAAGGCCAGGGGAGCAAACGGG